AAGGAAUUAGUUAAAUAUAAUAACAUUUGCUUGUCAUGCAAAAGUCAUCUUUAAGAUACUCCUUA
rnacentral:tRNA from 1 species